rnacentral:rRNA from 1 species
CCUGGCUUAGGAUAAACGCUGGCGGCGCACAUAAGACAUGCAAGUCGAACGGAAGUCGUUUACGGAAUUAGAAAGGAACAGAGAACUUGUCAACGGGAAUGGACGAUGAAAUAAAACAAUGGCUUUAGGUGGCGGACUGGUGAGUAACACGUAAGCAACCUUGCCUAUUAGAGGGGAAUAACAACGAGAAAUCGUUGCUAAUACCGCAUAUGCCAUAAGCAUCGCAUGAUGCAAGUGGGAAAGGAGCAAUUCGCUAAUAGAUGGGCUUGCGGCUGAUUAGUUAGUUGGUGGGGUAACGGCCUACCAAGACGACGAUCAGUAGCCGAACUGAGAGGUUAAACGGCCACAUUGGGACUGAGAUACGGCCCAGACUCCUACGGGAGGCAGCAGUCGGGAAUAUUGCGCAAUGGAGGAAAAACCUCUGACGCAGUGACGCCGCGUAUAGGAAGAAGGUUUUCGGAUUGUAAACUAUUGUCGAUAGGGAAGAAAAAAGACGGUACCUAUCAAGAAAGCUCCGGCUAACUACGUGCCAGCAGCUGC